GCAAUUAGCCUCCCCCACACCGAAGCAAAGGAGAGGAGAAAAAGGAGAAAGCGAAGGGCACAAGGAAGGGAAGACAUGGUUGGCAUCUUCUCACGCUUCUCCGGUGGCUACAUGGCCAAACCCAGUCAUCAUCCUUCCCUCCUCCAACUGGAUAAGAAGUUGGCAGAGGCUAGUGAGGGUGAGGAGGAAGAAGGGAACGAUGGAGCUUAUGAUACUCAUGGUGAGAUUGAGAGGAAGGGUGAUGAUGACGAUGCGGAGGUGGAGGUUGACGGCGAGUUCAAACCGAUAGAGCAUCCGCUGGAGCCACCGGAUGAUGACCGGCCGGCGAAGUACCCCUUGCCUUUUGCUUCUGUGGUAAAUCAAUCUUGAUGUUUGCAGAAUGUUUAAAGUAGAUGUGAAUCACAUUGAUGAUGAAAAUUGACAUUUAGAGGAUGAAGGUGAACUGAAGGAGUCAUUCUCGGCAAGUUUACAGACGAUAGCAGAGUCGUCGUCGUCGAUAGGGAAUGAAGAAAGAGUUGCUGAGCAAACUCGAUCGCGAACUGAUCGAAAGCGAAAUCCCGUUCGAAAUCAUCCCCCCCCUCCCUCACCAAACUACAGCAUAUUUCAAGUCUUUCAUCAGUGCAAACAGUUCGAAGCUUAACAAAUAGCUUCCCUCACCACUGAUCCGUUCAACAUUAUUUGAGUAUCUCAUGUACAGGCAAAACUAUUACUUGGAAUGUCUUGUUUUUGUAAAAAGCUGCCUAUAUUCACAAUCAUUUGAAACCUAAAAAGAAUGUAUAUUUUUCAUCUCUUUUUUUGGAGAAAGAAGAAUCAAAGAUUGUUUGUUUGUUUGCCUUUAA